AGCAGCGAUAAUGUGAAAAAGGAAGGUGCAAGUAACAUAUUACUUUUCAUUGGGCCAAACCUGGCUUGUGACCCAUUCAAUCGCCAUCAGAAUCGGUAAACCCUAGAAUACUCACUUCCGUUUAUAAAUACACCGUCUCAACUCUACAACUUGUACACAGCAGCUCUGCAGUUUCUCACAUCUUCACCAUGAUUCAAUGUACUUUAUGCUGUUUAUAAGUUUUACGAAGUGAAUACUUCUCUAUAUUUUCUUUUUCUUGUUUAAUUUGCUGCGUUUUACUUGAUUAUGAACCGUUAAUGGAUGCGUGCACAAUAAGCCGAUGGUCUGGAUCUGGAAAAUGAUGGAACCAUGGUAGUGUGCACGCAAAUUGAUCUUGUUAAGGUCCGCAUGUCUGCUCUCUCUGAUUCCUGACUUGAUUUGAGGGCCUGCUUUUAGGCAACAAUUUAGAGUCUCUGAUUUGCUUAUUCGAUAGCGAUUUCAGUGCUGUACGUUGCCGAUACUAAUUGGAACUGAAGUUUUUCUGCAUCUGUCAUUCUAGGCUUAUGCAUUCAGAUCUUCCUACAAUUUGUUAUAUUAAGUAAACUUGUUCGAUUGAGUUCUUGUAUUUUCUGUUUUUAUUAUACUUAUAUAUGUUAAUUUGAUGAUUGCCUCUAUUUAGCCUUGAUCUGUUGGAUUGGUCAAAUGACCCUUCCAUCAGUUGUUGCAUUUUACAGCAAUUAUAAUCUUUAACCUGUUCUUGACAAGCUUUUUUGAUUAAUGUAAUGGUUUAUCCAUUUCCGUGUUUAUUAAUUUACAAUCAUAUGUAUUUUAAUAAUAUUAGAUAUCUAUGUAUUUGAUGUAAUUUGAACGGCUUGUCGGUCUUAAUGCUAAGAGUGAUUGCUUGGUUACCAAUUAUAAUUUUAGAUUAAUUAAACUAUAAUUUGUAGUCAAUAUUUAUGAGAACUGAAGAUUUUUACUGUAUGACAUACCGUUCUUGAAAUUUCUACCAAGUAUUUAAGCUUGAUAAAGUUUGUAGCAAUAUGCUUAUAUGUCAUUUUUUUGGAGAAGCAAAAUGAAAUUAAAAUAAAGGAAAAACUUCUAGCACAAAGCAUGCUAGAAUUACAGUUGACGCCGGCUUGCAUCAGAUAGAUCUUACCCAAUUCUAAAAACGAUUACGCUCCAGAACUAUAUUCAAGCCAAAUCUAAGUUUUACCAGCCCAGGAAACCUAUCUAGAAUAAAUACGUGAUGGCUUGAAGAAAAAUGGAGUGUCGCAUUACUUGAGUAGCAAAUGCAGUCGAGCCAGUGGCUAUAGGGUUGGCACUUGGAACAGACUUAGUUGGAACACUUUUGGUCUUUUUCAUUUUCUCAAAGAAGUAUUUCUCAAAGACCUCUUUCGAUAUUGUCUUACCAUCGUCAUGGAUGAAUUGAGCUAGUUGUGUAUCCUUAACACCUACUUCAAUGCUAUGAUGAUGGAUUUGGACAUCCAGAGCAUGGACAAAGGUGGUGUUAAGCCACAAUUGUAAUAACUAUACAGGGUCUCAUAUUUAAAAGUUGUCGAGAUGGCUUCCACACACACGAUCGAUGGAUGUGUGUCCCAACACCUCUUAAAGGUCUGCAAGGAUCAGUUUGCUAAGUCAAACAUCUUUCCGAUCACGAAUUUUGGUCGCCAGAGAUACAUACAUCUUUGGGAUAUAGACCUCACGAGGAAAGAAGACGUAACAACAAAGCUAAUAUGUAAAAAAUGUUUUUUUUUUUUUGAAUAAGGCAUCAGGAAUGCCAAAAUAAUACAUAGCAGUAUUCCAACUAUUAA